rnacentral:rRNA from 1 species
AGAGUUUGAUCAUGGCUCAGAACGAACGCUGGCGGCGUGCUUAACACAUGCAAGUCGAGUGCGCGUACCGUAGCAAUACGGUAUGGCGCACGGCGCACGGGUGCGUAACACGUGGGCAAUCUGCCCUUCGAUGGGGAAUAUCUUCGGGAAACCGAAGCGAAUUCCGCAUAACAUUCCUUGGACUUCGGUUCAAGGACUCAAAGCCGUAAGGCGUCGAAGGAGGAGCCCGCGCACGAUUAGCUAGUUGGUAGGGUAACGGCCUACCAAGGCUUUGAUCGUUAGCUGGUCUGAGAGGAUGGCCAGCCACACUGGAACUGAGACACGGUCCAGACUCCUACGGGAGGCAGCAGUGGGGAAUCUUGCACAAUGGGCGAAAGCCUGAUGCAGCGACGCCGCGUGGGGGAUGAAGCAUCUCGGUGUGUAAACCCCUUUCGACCCGGAAGAAUGCCUCGCAAGAGGACUGACGGUACGGGUAUAAGAAGCCCCGGCUAACUACGUGCCAGCAGCCGCGGUAAGACGUAGGGGGCCAGCGUUGUUCGGAAUUACUGGGUGUAAAGGGUUCGUAGGCGGUGUGGCAAGUUGGGAGUGAAAUCUCUGGGCUCAACCCAGAGGCUGCUUCCAAAACUGCUGUGCUUGAGUGUGGGAGAGGCGCGUGGAAUUGCAGGUGUAGCGGUGAAAUGCGUAGAUAUCUGCAGGAACACCCGUGGCGAAAGCGGCGCGCUGGACCACUACUGACGCUGAGGAACGAAAGCUAGGGGAGCAAACAGGAUUAGAUACCCUGGUAGUCCUAGCCCUAAACGAUCAGGACUUGGGGUGCCGCCCGUUCGGGCGUCGUCCCGGAGCUAACGCGUUAAGUCCUGCACCUGGGGAGUACGGUCGCAAGACUGAAACUCAAAGGAAUUGACGG